ACGAACGCUGGCGGCGUGCCUAAUACAUGCAAGUCGAACGAAACUUUCUUACACCGAAUGCUUGCAUUCACCGUAAGAAGUUGAGUGGCGGACGGGUGAGUAACACGUGGGUAACCUGCCUAAAAGAAGGGGAUAACACUUGGAAACAGGUGCUAAUACCGUAUAUCUCUAAGGAUCGCAUGAUCCUUAGAUGAAAGAUGGUUCUGCUAUCGCUUUUAGAUGGACCCGCGGCGUAUUAACUAGUUGGUGGGGUAACGGCCUACCAAGGUGAUGAUACGUAGCCGAACUGAGAGGUUGAUCGGCCACAUUGGGACUGAGACACGGCCCAAACUCCUACGGGAGGCAGCAGUAGGGAAUCUUCCACAAUGGACGCAAGUCUGAUGGAGCAACGCCGCGUGAGUGAAGAAGGUCUUCGGAUCGUAAAACUCUGUUGUUAGAGAAGAACACGAGUGAGAGUAACUGUUCAUUCGAUGACGGUAUCUAACCAGCAAGUCACGGCUAACUACGUGCCAGCAGCCGCGGUAAUACGUAGGUGGCAAGCGUUGUCCGGAUUUAUUGGGCGUAAAGGGAACGCAGGCGGUCUUUUAAGUCUGAUGUGAAAGCCUUCGGCUUAACCGGAGUAGUGCAUUGGAAACUGGAAGACUUGAGUGCAGAAGAGGAGAGUGGAACUCCAUGUGUAGCGGUGAAAUGCGUAGAUAUAUGGAAGAACACCAGUGGCGAAAGCGGCUCUCUGGUCUGUAACUGACGCUGAGGUUCGAAAGCGUGGGUAGCAAACAGGAUUAGAUACCCUGGUAGUCCACGCCGUAAACGAUGAAUGCUAGGUGUUGGAGGGUUUCCGCCCUUCAGUGCCGCAGCUAACGCAAUAAGCAUUCCGCCUGGGGAGUACGACCGCAAGGUUGAAACUCAAAGGAAUUGACGGGGGCCCGCACAAGCGGUGGAGCAUGUGGUUUAAUUCGAAGCAACGCGAAGAACCUUACCAGGUCUUGACAUCCUUUGACCACCUAAGAGAUUAGGCUUUCCCUUCGGGGACAAAGUGACAGGUGGUGCAUGGCUGUCGUCAGCUCGUGUCGUGAGAUGUUGGGUUAAGUCCCGCAACGAGCGCAACCCUUAUUGCCAGUUACUACGCAAGAGGACUCUGGCGAGACUGCCGUUGACAAAACGGAGGAAGGUGGGGAUGACGUCAAAUCAUCAUGCCCCUUAUGACCUGGGCUACACACGUGCUACAAUGGACGGUACAACGAGUCGCGAGACCGCGAGGUUUAGCUAAUCUCUUAAAGCCGUUCUCAGUUCGGAUUGUAGGCUGCAACUCGCCUACAUGAAGUCGGAAUCGCUAGUAAUCGCGAAUCAGCAUGUCGCGGUGAAUACGUUCCCGGGCCUUGUACACACCGCCCGUCACACCAUGAGAGUUUGUAACACCCAAAGCCGGUGGGGUAACCGCAAGGAGCCAGCCGUCUAAGGUGGGACAGAUGAUUGGGGUG
rnacentral:rRNA from 1 species